AUUGAACGCUGGCGGCAGGCUUAACACAUGCAAGUCGAGCGGAGCGAGGGUGCUUGCACCUUAGCUUAGCGGCGGACGGGUGAGUAAUGCUUAGGAAUCUGCCUAUUAGUGGGGGACAACAUUCCGAAAGGGAUGCUAAUACCGCAUACGCCCUACGGGGGAAAGCAGGGGAUCUUCGGACCUUGCGCUAAUAGAUGAGCCUAAGUCGGAUUAGCUAGUUGGUGGGGUAAAGGCCUACCAAGGCGACGAUCUGUAGCGGGUCUGAGAGGAUGAUCCGCCACACUGGGACUGAGACACGGCCCAGACUCCUACGGGAGGCAGCAGUGGGGAAUAUUGGACAAUGGGGGGAACCCUGAUCCAGCCAUGCCGCGUGUGUGAAGAAGGCCUUAUGGUUGUAAAGCACUUUAAGCGAGGAGGAGGCUCUUUUGGUUAAUACCCAAGAUGAGUGGACGUUACUCGCAGAAUAAGCACCGGCUAACUCUGUGCCAGCAGCCGCGGUAAAAC
rnacentral:rRNA from 1 species